rnacentral:rRNA from 1 species
AGAGCUCAAAUUUAAAAUCUGGCGGUCCUUGCGGCCGUCCGAGUUGUAAUUUAGAGAAGUGUUGCCCGCGUUGGACCGUGUACAAGUCUCCUGGAACGGAGCGUCGUAGAGGGUGAGAAUCCCGUUUAUGACACGGACUACCAAGGCUUUGUGGUACGCUCUCGAAGAGUCGAGUUGUUUGGGAAUGCAGCUCAAAAUGGGUGGUAAAUUCCAUCUAAAGCUAAAUACAGGCGAGAGACCGAUAGCGAA